ensembl:misc_RNA Metazoa_SRP Metazoan signal recognition particle RNA
GCCGGGUGUGGUGGCGUGCACCUGUAGUCUCAGCUACUCAGGAGGCUGAGGUGGGAGAAUCGCUUGAAUCCAGGAGGUGGAGGUUACAGUAAGCUGAGAUCAUGCCACUGUACUCCAGCCUGGGUGACAGAGCGAGACUCCAUCUCAA